AGAAGUGUAAAAGAGUGGUCGAAGGCUGUAAGGUUUGAGAGAAGUGAGAAUGGGGAAUCCGAGAGAGAAGGAACACAUUGAGGGGAUACGGAGGAAGAAGUUCUCGAUUGGAGGGCCAGAAAACCCGUUGAUCCCAGACCUUCACGAGGCAGUCAAGAAUCUCUCCGCCGAGCUCUAUGCCAAAGAUGUUCACUUUCUGAUGGAGCUCAUUCAGGUUUGACAAGCAUUUUCCACUUCGCCAAUGCAUUUUGGUAAUCAUGAAGCAAUUAUAGAUUCUCCUGAUUGGCAUCCUAACAGGCAUUAAGCAGAGCUAGUAAGUCCUCUUUUAUGCUUAAGUUCCACCGUAUGCAAACGUUCUUGAGUAAUUACCCAUAUAAAGGUUCUCAAUAUUUUCAAAUAGGUGCCUCGUUGCUUGAAAAAGAAGAAAAAGAAGAAGCAAACUUCACCGUACAACAUCAUGAUUCUUAGUUUUAGGCAAACGCAAAGGCCAAGGGUCUCCUUUUAGUAUUCUUCCCUGAAGAUGCCUCCUUUAUCACCGACAAACCUAAGCCCCUCUCUUUAUCACCUUCUUCUUUGCCUCCCUAUUCUUCUUUCUCCCUCAAGAGACACAAUUCCAUUCACAUUUUCUCCAUCGCUCAAUGCAUCAUUUUUGCCUAUACUCUCCUUCUCUUUACUACUCCCAUCCUUUUCACUCUAUCCACCAUUAAACCAACUGUCCAUCGUCAAUUUUUGUCGCAAAAAUCCCCUUUAAUUCACAAUCCUACUAUAGAAACCUUUAAAGAAUGGAUAUGCUAAA